rnacentral:rRNA from 1 species
CAGUCGCCGCGGUAAAACGGAGGGAGCUAGCGUUGUUCGGAAUUACUGGGCGUAAAGCGCACGUAGGCGGUUUGUCGCGUCGUCUGUGAAAUUCUGCAGCUUAACUGUAGGCGUGCAGGCGAUACGGGCAGACUUGAGUACUACAGGGGAGACUGGAAUUCCUGGUGUAGCGGUGAAAUGCGCAGAUAUCAGGAGGAACACCGGUGGCGAAGGCGGGUCUCUGGGUAGUAACUGACGCUGAGGAGCGAAAGCGUGGGUAGCGAACAGGAUUAGAUACCCGCGUAGUCCCUGUCUCUUAUAA